AGAUUGAACGCUGGCGGCAGGCCUAACACAUGCAAGUCGAGCGGUAGAGAGGUGCUUGCACCUCUUGAGAGCGGCGGACGGGUGAGUAAAGCCUAGGAAUCUGCCUGGUAGUGGGGGAUAACGCUCGGAAACGGACGCUAAUACCGCAUACGUCCUACGGGAGAAAGCAGGGGACCUUCGGGCCUUGCGCUAUCAGAUGAGCCUAGGUCGGAUUAGCUAGUUGGUGAGGUAAUGGCUCACCAAGGCGACGAUCCGUAACUGGUCUGAGAGGAUGAUCAGUCACACUGGAACUGAGACACGGUCCAGACUCCUACGGGAGGCAGCAGUGGGGAAUAUUGGACAAUGGGCGAAAGCCUGAUCCAGCCAUGCCGCGUGUGUGAAGAAAGGUCUUCGGUAAUUGUAAAACGCGAACUUUAAAGUUAGGGUAGGAAAGGGAGAUUAACCGUAAAUUAACGUUAAGUUGUUUGACGUUACCGACUAAGAAAUAAGACACCGGACUAACGUACUGUGCCAGCACG
rnacentral:rRNA from 1 species